UGCAUUUCUAAUGUUAAAAAAGUUUAAUAUAAUUGAUUUCUUGUCAUAAUUUAAAUUUUUUAUUUCAUCUAGUUUUUUUAAAAAGUAAAGAGAAAUAUACUUUGUUACUAGAAUAUAAUUGACUAUAGAAAAGCAACGACAUACAAUACAUAUAGUUGUCCCUUUGUAUCCAUAAAGAAUUGGUUCCAGAACCUGCAUGGAUAGCAAAAUUGAAGGACACUCAGGUCCUUUAUAUAGAAUAACAUAGUAUCUGCAUAAACCCAUGUAUAACUUCCCAGUUUAAAUCAUCUGUAAAUUAUUUAUAAUGCCUAAUACACUAUAAAUACUAUGUAACUGAUAAUCAUGUGUGUUGUGUAGGGAAUAAUGACAAGAAAACAGUCUGUGCAUGUUUGGUACAGAGAGAAACUUAAAGAAAUAGUUUUGAUUUGCAUUUGGUUGAACUCAGAUGCAGAACCGGUGGAUAGAGAGGGUUGACUUGAUAAAAUGUUAUUUGAAAUUCUUAGAAUUAGCUUUUAUCUCUGGCAUACUUAGUCUGCUAUUAUAAUUUACUGCAUGGAUUUUAGUUUUAAUGAAUACAUUAAGUUUAGUGAUGCUUUCCGGAUCCUACAUGUAGGAUCAUAUUACAAUGGCAAAGAUGAACACAGUGAUUUAAAUAAAACACUUAAAUUUGUUAAGAUUUAAAUAAUUCCAAGAGAUAUUUUUUUUUUCUCAAAGCUUAUCCAUCUCUUGUUCUCUUAUCUGAAGUGCUUUGGAUCAUUGAAGGCAAAUAAAUUGUGUCAGUUUUGGAAGGACAUGGGAAGAUUGUCCAUCUUUUUUUCUGUUUUCAUUAUACAACAGUGAGCAGUGUCCUAGGGCCUGGUACAGGGAUAUUCGGCCAUGCUUACAUUCUUACAUGGAGCUUGGGAACAAACAGUUCAAGUACAUACAUGACAUUUUCCUAAAUGUUUCUUGGCAAGGUUGCAGAAAUAUUUUCAACCACUGACACAUUUUGUUUUUAUUUUUUAUAACACCACCAGUAGCAAAAUAUGCUAACACGACUGUUAUUUUUUCCUCUUUCUGUUUCUUACGGUGUGAGAAUGAAUUCUGAACAGACACAAAAUAGUUUUUGAUCUACAAAAGAAAAAAAGAAACUAAAUGCAACCCUGGAUGAAGAGCUGGGAGUGCGGGUUCUUUCUAUUUGCCUAGUGCUCUAGUUCUCCAACUGAUAGAACUCCAAACCUUUUCCUAUAUGGCACUAUGUGCAUAUUCACACAGGUCUCCACACACACAUUCACAGAUGUGCAGGCACAGUUAAUUACCCUCCCUUUAUAAUGUCUGGGGAAAAACAAAAGAAGACCACAAAGUUUGUGACAGUGUGAGCAUCAGGGGUCAUUCUCAGGGGACAGAAUGAUGUUAUUCUAAACCAGCAGUCCAUUCAACACAUUCAAAAUUUGGCUAGAUUUUCUAUACCAGCAGCUUCUGUUCUCGCCUUCUUCCUAGUGUCUGCUGAUUUAAUUUUAGUGACGUGAUCACUAAAGGAGUCAAUGUCACAGCAGCUUCUUUUUCUGAGGCCCUUUCAAGGUUUCAAGGAUUCCUUUCUACUUUAUAUCAUGCAGGCCACCUACUCUAGAAUCCUUCCUGGAACAAGUUGAAAUAUUUAUUUUGAAAGGGAAGAAAAGGUAGAAAUUAAAGUUUUUACACAAGAUAUUUGAAACUAAUUUUUGCCUUGGGAAAAUGUUACAUAGCAUUUAAAAUAUCCUCAUGUAUGUGUGGUGACAUAGUGUAAUGAUAGCUGAGUAUGCAUUCUCUCUCUAUAUAUACACUGUUGUUGUUGUUAUUAUUAUUAUUAUUAUUAUUGGGGGGGUUUCCAUAAAUUAAACCCAGGGUCACUCAACCACUGAGCCACAUCCCCAGCCCCUUUGUUUUUUAAAAAAAUAUUUUAUUAGAGACAGGAUCACCCCGAGUUGCUUAAAGCCUUGAUAUGUUGCUGAGGCUGGGAUUACAGGCGUGUGCCACCACACCCAACUUUUUUUUUUUUAACAUUUUUUAUUUUGAGACAGCAUCUAGCUAAAUUGUGUGGAGCAUCUCUAAAUUGCUGAAGCUGGCUUUGAUUGUAAUCCUCCUGCUUCAGCCUCCUGCGCCCCUGGGAUUACAGGCGUGAUCCAUCGUGCCUGGCUUCUCCAUAAAAUUUUUAGAAUGUUUCUUUGUGUUCCAAUAAUAUGCCAAAUCACAACACCCUGAAUUCAUACCAAUGGAUUAUUCUGAGCUAAAUUUCUGAAUUGUAUUCUUAUGCUGGUUAAAAUUUCAAGUUUUUAAAGUAUUUCCUUCCCAAUUAAAAAAAUAGAAUGAAAUAUACCAACUGAACCAGAUCCCAGAUAAACAACUAAACUAAAUAACAUACAAUAGUUGACAUCAAUUUUAACUUUCAGAAAUAUCUGCGAGAUGGAUUAUAUAGAAAACAAAUUAAGACACUUCUAUUUGAAAUUCUCUUGCAUUCUGGAAACUAAACAGUAUCCAGUUUAGACUUGAAUGUACCUCAGUAACCUCAGUAUCUCUUAUGGUGCUAUGAUGUCAUGGUAGAGCAGAAGUAGUUCUAAUGCCUUUAAAGAUAAUUAAAGUAAAAAUAGCAGUGAUUGGUGAAGAAGAGACCAAAGAAUAAGAUUACAGUAUUUUUUGCAGGGAACCAUUCAAAGGACUACUGCUUCACAGAUCUGUUCAUUUACUGCCCAGGAGGAGUUAGUAAAUCCAAUGUCAGUUAAGGACCCUUUUAACAGAAAACCUA
rnacentral:lncRNA from 1 species